rnacentral:rRNA from 1 species
GAUGAACGCUGGCGGCGUGCUUAACACAUGCAAGUCGAACGAUGAAGCCCAGCUUGCUGGGUGGAUUAGUGGCGAACGGGUGAGUAACACGUGAGUAACCUGCCCUUGACUCUGGGAUAAGCCUGGGAAACUGGGUCUAAUACUGGAUAUGACUUCUCAUCGCAUGGUGGGGGGUGGAAAGAUUUAUUGGUCUUGGAUGGACUCGCGGCCUAUCAGCUUGUUGGUGAGGUACUGGCUCACCAAGGCGACGACGGGUAGCCGGCCUGAGAGGGUGACCGGCCACACUGGGACUGAGACACGGCCCAGACUCCUACGGGAGGCAGCAGUGGGGAAUAUUGCACAAUGGGCGCAAGCCUGAUGCAGCGACGCCGCGUGAGGGAUGACGGCCUUCGGGUUGUAAACCUCUUUCAGUAGGGAAGAAGCGAGAGUGACGGUACCUGCAGAAGAAGCGCCGGCUAACUACGUG